rnacentral:tRNA from 1 species
AGUCUUUCUAGUAUUAAUAUUAGUAUAAGUGACUUCCAAUCACCUGGUUUUGGUGAAAAUCCAAAGAAAGACA